AUGAUUUAUAAACCCAAAAUACUUUCUGCCGUGCUUAAAGAUGUUUUUGCCAAAAGCGCUGUUCUUGUCAUUUCCCAUAAAAAGCACGAAGGUGGUGGUGUCGGGAGAUGGGAUGGGGACGUUUGCGGAUCACCCGCGAGGUGCCAUGUGCUGCCAUCCAUGGGUGGUGACGUUUGGCUCAGGUUUCGCAUCGCUGCACAAUUUGAUGUCAUCGUCAGAUCUGCCCUGUGCUGGGAAAUGGGAUCGUCAGCGCCGGUUCACACAAGAACAGUCUUCCUCCACUGUCUGAAAUCUCAGUAACCUGUAGCUGUGCCCCAGGAACCACAAUGCAGCCUCCUUGGGAGCUGCUGGAUUGCCCCACUUGGUUGUCCUUUUGGUACCUCCCCCUACUGAAGGAGCCUAUGGACCUCAUGUCCAAAGCUUGUCAGGUAGAAAUGUGACCAAACCCACUGUUUUAUGGAUAUGUGAUAAGGGUGGGCAUAGAGGGUACAAACUCAAUAAUGCACCAAAGAUUACCCAGCGAUACCUGAGGUACAGCUUCACACUGAACCUGCAAAUCCUAAACAUUAAUCACAAGCUAUUCUUGUUCCUCCUUGUCGUGACAGUGUUGUGAGAAGGCUGAUUUUGUAUUAAAAUUGAGUUAGAUCAAUGCAGAUACAAUGAAAGUGGAUGCUACACUUUGCUCUAACAGAAUCCAAGCUUUUCUUUGCAGCAGGAACAUGGGCUAAUCCUCUUACUGGUUGGAAUUGGAGGUCCUGUACGAGUUGCACUGAAUGUUCAAUUCAAAUGAAAGGAUUUUCUUGGUGAGUAAGUGAACACAUACUGAAUGUGCAAACAGUCAAAUGUUCUCCGGGUGGUUUUGAUAAAUGGUUUGCUUACUGUGGUGUUUAAAUCAAGCUAAUUUCAUCUUAUGUCUCCGUAGUUCUGUUGGUCAGGAAGAGUCUUUAGGAGUACAUUGAAGUACUUUUGAGCAAUGGUGAACACCUUUUAAAAAAGUAGGAAUUAGGGGAUUAUAUCAAGCACUGGUAUGAUCAGUACUGCUAUGUAAGUGAUAAUGAAAAUAAAUUUCAACACAACCUUCA
rnacentral:lncRNA from 1 species